rnacentral:rRNA from 1 species
GACGAACGCUGGCGGCGUGCUUAACACAUGCAAGUCGAGCGGUAAGGCCCUUUCGGGGGUACACGAGCGGCGAACGGGCGAGUAACACGUGGGUGACCUGCCCUCAGCUCUGGGAUAAGCCUGGGAAACCGGGUCUAAUACCGGAUAUGACUCCAUGACGCAUGUUGUGGGGUGGAAAGCCUUGUGCGGCUGAGGAUGGGCCCGCGGCCUAUCAGCUUGUUGGUGGGGUGAUGGCCUACCAAGGCGACGACGGGUAGCCGGCCUGAGAGGGCGACCGGCCACACUGGGACUGAGACACGGCCCAGACUCCUACGGGAGGCAGCAGUGGGGAAUCUUGCGCAAUGGGCGAAAGCCUGACGCAGCGACGCCGCGU